UCAGGAUGAACGCUGGCGGCGUGCCUAACACAUGCAAGUCGAACGGGACUAUCAAGUGAUGUUUCGGACUGAACUUUUAGUUUAGUGGCGGACGGGUGAGUAACGCGUGGACAACCUGCCUCUCACUGGGGGAUAGCAGCUGGAAACGGCUGGUAAUACCGCAUGCGUUCAAUGUGCCGCAUGACACAUUGAAGAAAGAUUUAUCGGUGAGAGAUGGGUCCGCGUCUGAUUAGCCAGUUGGCGGGGUAACGGCCCACCAAAGCGACGAUCAGUAGCCGGCCUGAGAGGGCGGACGGCCACAUUGGGACUGAGACACGGCCCAGACUCCUACGGGAGGCAGCAGUGGGGGAUAUUGCACAAUGGGCGCAAGCCUGAUGCAGCGACGCCCGCGUGAGUGAAGAAGUAUUUCGGUAUGUAAAGCUCUAUCAGCAGGGAAGAAAGGCCCGCAAGGGAGAUGACGGUACCUGACUAAGAAGCCCCGGCUAACUACGUGCCAGCAGCCGC
rnacentral:rRNA from 1 species